GGCCAUAGAGGGUGAUAGCCCCUUACACGAAAUGCGAUGUGUGGAACUAAGUAUGCGACAAGUAGGGCGGGACACGAGAAAUCCUGUCUGAACAUGGGGGGACCAUCCUCCAAGGCUAAAUACUCGUAAUCGACCGAUAGUGAACCAGUACCGUGAGGGAAAGGCGAAAAGAACCCCGGGAGGGGAGUGAAAUAGAUCCUGAAACCGUGUGCAUACAAACAGUAGGAGCGGACUUGUUCCGUGACUGCGUACCUUUUGUAUAAUGGGUCAGCGACUUACAUUCAGUGGCAAGGUUAACCAUAUAGGGAAGCCGUAGAGAAAUCGAGUCCGAAUAGGGCGACAGUCGCUGGGUGUAGACCCGAAACCAAGUGAUCUACUCAUGGCCAGGAUGAAGGUGCGGUAACACGCCCUGGAGGUCCGAACCCACUAAUGUUGAAAAAUUAGGGGAUGAGCUGUGGGUAGGGGUGAAAGGCUAAACAAACUUGGAAAUAGCUGGUUCUCUCCGAAAACUAUUUAGGUAGUGCCUCAAGUAUCACCAUCGGGGGUAGAGCACUGUUAUGGCUAGGGGGUCAUUGCGACUUACCAAACCAUUGCAAACUCCGAAUACCGAUGAGUGCGAGCUUGGGAGACAGACGUCGGGUGCUAACGUCCGGCGUCAAGAGGGAAACAACCCAGACCGCCAGCUAAGGUCCCAAAGAUUGGCUAAGUGGAAAACGAAGUGGGAAGGCUAAAACAGUCAGGAUGUUGGCUUAGAAGCAGCCAUCAUUUAAAGAAAGCGUAAUAGCUCACUGAUCGAGUCGUCCUGCGCGGAAGAUGUAACGGGGCUAAGCCAGUCACCGAAGCUGCGGAUAU
rnacentral:rRNA from 1 species